GACGAACGCUGGCGGCGUGCUUAACACAUGCAAGUCGAACGGUGAAGCGCCUUCCUUUUUGGUGGGUGUGGAUGAGUGGCGAACGGGUGAGUAACACGUGAGUAACCUGCCCCCUUCUUCUGGAUAACCGCAUGAAAGUGUGGCUAAUACGGGAUAUUCUGGGUCUGUCGCAUGAUGGGUCUGGGAAAGAUAUUGUUUCGGUGGGGGAUGGGCUCGCGGCCUAUCAGCUUGUUGGUGGGGUGAUGGCCUACCAAGGCGGUGACGGGUAGCCGGCCUGAGAGGGUGGGCGGCCCCACGGGGGCUGAGCCACGGCGCCGACUCCUACGGGCGGCAGCAGUGAGUAAUAUUGCACAGUGGGCGCAAGGCUGAUGCAGCGCCGCCGCGUGGGGGAUGGAGGCCUGCGGGUUGUGAACCUCUUUCGCCAGUGAAGCAGGCCUGCCUCGUUUGUGGGUGGGUUGACGGUAGCUGGAUAAGAAGCGCCGGCUAACUACGUG
rnacentral:rRNA from 1 species